UACGUAGGGGGCUAGCGUUGUCCGGAAUCAUUGGGCGUAAAGCGCGCGCAGGCGGUCACGCAGGUCAUCUGUGAAAGCACUCGGCUCAACCGGGAUGUUGCGGGUGAAACCGCGUGACUGGAGGGUGGGAGAGGUCGGUGGAAUUCCCGGUGUAGUGGUGAAAUGCGUAGAGAUCGGGAGGAACACCCGUAGCGAAGGCGGCCGACUGGACCACACCUGACGCUGAGGCGCGAAGGCCAGGGGAGCGAACGGG
rnacentral:rRNA from 1 species